rnacentral:rRNA from 1 species
GCACGUAAGCGGAGGACAUAUCAUAAGCGGAGGAGCAUAUCAAUAAGCGGAGGAGCAUAUCAAUAAGCGGAGGAGCAUAUCAAUAAGCGGAGGAGCAUAUCAGUAGGCGGAGGAAGCACUCCGGCGGCCAACCAAACUCUUGUUUUUACACUGAAACUCUGAGAAUAAAACAUAAAUGAAUCAAAACUUUCAACAACGGAUCUCUUGGUUCUGGCAUCGAUGAAGAACGCAGCGAAAUGCGAUAAGUAAUGUGAAUUGCAGAAUUCAGUGAAUCAUCGAAUCUUUGAACGCACAUUGCGCCCUCUGGUAUUCCGGAGGGCAUGCCUGUUCGAGCGUCAUUUCAACCCUCAAGCCUGGCUUGGUGAUGGGGCACUGCCUUCUAACGAGGGCAGGCCCUGAAAUUCAGUGGCGAGCUCGCCAGGACCCCGAGCGCAGUAGUUAAACCCUCGCUCUGGAAGGCCCUGGCGGUGCCCUGCCGUUAAACCCCCAACUCUUGAAAAUUUGACCUCGGAUCAGGUAGGAAUACCCGCUGAACUUAAGCAUAUCAAUAAGCGGAGGAAA